UCUUGGGAAUCUCCAGAUUUUUCUUCUUUUGAUACUCCUUAGCUUUAUCCAUAAUAUUGAUGUCCCCAUGUCCUCUAGUAGUAGGCCUGAUGGAUAGAACUGGACCCCAUUUAGUAGAUUCCUCCUGAAAUUUCCCUUUAUUUUCCGAUUCAGUCUGUUCCAAGGUAUCAAGAAGAGAUCUCUUAGUGGAGCUGAAGAUUUUAAUCAUCUCAUCAGGGAGGCAUUGCAUCUCUGGAAGUUUGUCCAUACAUUCCUCAUCAGAUUCAGCCAUAU
rnacentral:lncRNA from 1 species